UACAGAGGGUGCAAGCGUUAAUCGGAAUUACUGGGCGUAAAGCGUGCGUAGACGGUAGCGUAAGUCAGAUGUGAAAGCCCCGGGCUCAACCUGGGAAUUGCAUUUGAGACUGCUCUGCUCGGGUGCGGAAGAGGGAAGCGGAAUUUCCGGUGUAGCGGUGAAAUGCGUAGAUAUCGGAAGGAACACCAGUGGCGAAAGCGGCUUCCUGGUCCGACACCGACGUUCAGGCACGAAAGCGUGGGGAGCAAACAGG
rnacentral:rRNA from 1 species